rfam:Pan troglodytes isolate Yerkes chimp pedigree #C0471 (Clint) chromosome 7, whole genome shotgun sequence.
GCCAGGCAUGGUGGGCGUGCCUGUAAUCCCAGCUACUUGGGAGGCUGAGGCAGGAGAAUUGCUUGAACCCAGGAGGCAGAGGUUGCAGUGAGCCAAGAUCGUGCCACUGCACUCCAGCCUGGGCAACAGAGUAAGACUCUGUCUCAA